rnacentral:ncRNA from 1 species
GUUUCAGGGCGGGGUGCAAUUCCCCACUGGCGGUAAAGUCCGCGACCACCCGUAAGGGUGCUGACCCGGUGCAACUCCGGGACCAACGGUAUAGUCCGGAUGCAAGAAA